UGCCGGGCGGGGGAUCCCGAGGGAGCCAUCGAACCAGCCGAAACAGGGAGAGACAGCGAGAUUCGGGCUUGGCGCGCACCAAGCGUUUGGAAUUGGUAGCUCCGGUGAGGUUGCCCUCGCAGCGGCAGUGGCAGACCAGCACUUCAUUUCUAAUGAGAAGGCAGUCAUCCAAAAACCAGCUUAAUGAAAAUGCUGCAUUGCACUGGAUUAUUCCUGCUGUACACUGCUGAGGAAUGAGGUGAAUGGCUUUGGGAGCUUCUGAAACAAAAGUACCUGCAGUGCUUUUAUGAUAUUGCCAUUUUCUGUCAUCAGACAAUCUGGAAUACCUGGAAACACAGAUCUGUUUAGUCAUGAGAUGGACCAGAGAUCCCUGCUUGCUAAUUUGCUUAAGAUGGCAUGUUUGCCAUGGCUGGAAUUCAUCCUCCCUAACCCCUACCAUCUGAAAGCUAGGUGAGGUUAACACACAGUGUGAAGUACAGUACUGGUUCUUUCGUGUCCUCAUGGAGCAGACCCUGUCUCUAGGACUAGUGAAAUAGUUACCAUGUGCCCACAACCUUUGCCCACAUCCCAGACAUUAAGUAUUGGUUAUGAUUUUGUUCCCAGGAACUGUGGAAAUACCGGAAGUGGUAAGACUUUGUACAUGAACAUGACUAAGUGAAAUAUACACCCUUAAUCUUCCUGAGGAAAGUUCAGCUUUAAAUUUGACUCAGGAGAGUCAGGAGCAGUUGAUCUUCUGCUGGUACUUGUCUCAUCCUGUAGAAUAAGCUGGCAUUGAUAUGAUUUGAAUGUGUGAUUGUCAGAGUUGCUGUCUUGUUACAGCUUGAUGACUUAACCUUAGAAAUCAACUUUCUUUCAAUUUGAAAAGUUCUUGAGAACAAUGGAUUAAAAGAGAGAAAAGAUAACACAGGGAUGUUUUAGCUGUUGCUGAGCAGUGCUUGCACAGUGUCAGGGCCUUCUCUGUUUCUCGGGCUGUCCCAACAGGGAGCUGACUGGGGGUGCACAAGGAGCUGGGAGGGGACACAGCUGAGACAGCUGACCCCAACUGACCACAGGGAUAUUCCAGACCAUAUGAUGUUGUGCUCAGCAUAUAAGGCUGGGAGAAGAAGGAAGGAAAGGGUGAUGUUUGGACUGGCUGUGUUUCUCUUCCCAAGUCACCAAUACCUGGAGUGAAGCCCUGCUUUCCUGGAGAUGGCUGAAUGCCUGCCUGUUGAUAGGAAGUGAAUAAAUUCCUUCUUCUGCUUUGUUUGUGUGCAUGGCUUUUGCUUUCCCUAUUAAACUGUCUUUAUCUCAGCCCACGAAUUUUCCCACUUUUUUGUAAUUAUCUCCCUCAUCCCAUUGGGAUAAAUGGGCAUGUGGUUAUGUAGGGCUGAGCUGCCCACUAGGGUUAAACCUUGACAGUGCUAUUUUGGUGACCAACUUGGGGCUCAAAUGCUUUGAGUUAAUGAAUGGUUUGGCUGGAGUCUGCUAGACUGAAUUUAUAGCUUUUAGUGCUAUUUACCUAUUCAUUGGCAGGUGCUGUGGUUGACAUAGGACUUGCUUGCCCUGCUGCACAUUAGUCUAGAGCUUGUUAGUGGCUUCUUUUCACCCUGGCUGUUUGCUGUAGGGCUUAUCAUCCUACCCAGCUGUGCCUGGGAGCAUUUUGAUAACAGCCCUGGCGAUGUGCCUGUGCUGGCCCAUGGCCUGGGUGUCGCUGCUGGCCCAGACAGGCUGCAGCUCCAGUGCCACCUUGAAUUGAAGGGACCUGACCUGUGGAUAAGUACCUGCAGGAGCAGGACAACCUGAAGUGUCUGUGGUUGUGGAUGAGACCAUGUUGGAGCAGAAGCAUCUAUGGGCAUGGAUAUGUCCAUAGCAGAGCAGGUACACUCCUGGAGAGACUGUGGCCCUUGGAUGGGGCUGUGCUGGAGGAGGUGCACCUCAAAGUGACUGUGGCUGUGGCUGUGUGUAAGGCCAGGCCACAUCACCUGUACCCUGCAGAGACUGUGGCCCAUGAGUACACACACUGGAGCUGGUCCACCCCUAAGGGACUGGAGUCCCUGGAUAAGUCGACACUCAAAGAGAGAUAGAAACUAUAUAUAAUAUAUAUAUAUAUAUAUAAUGGAUGCACCUUUAAAUUGUUGUAAACUAUGAUCUGAGUUGCAUGUUAUAGGAUUACUGUAGCAGGAACCACUGCCAGUGGAGAACACGCCGUGCAAGAAGAGGGGCACGUGCAGCAGUGACCCGACCUGAGCUGGCUUUGGUGCCCAGUAAGUCCAGACAACACAGCAGCUCUCUGGUCCUGAGUGACCAUCCAUCCUGAGUGGAUGAAUGAAUCCAAUGGACAUUUCACAGGCAUUUUAUGGACAUUUUACAGGGAAUGAUACCUGUGAAGAUAUCAAAGGAUGGGAAAGAGGAAGGUGGCUAAUGAGUAUUUAUUGGAUGGUAUGGGACCUGAGCAUGAUGUAAAUAGUGGGAAUAAGGUGUGGAGAUUGUACUGGCUAUUGUUGGGAUAGAGUUAAUUUUCUUCAUGGUGGCUUGUAUGGUGCUAUGGUUUGGAUUUGUGAUGAAAACAGUGCUGAUAAAACAGUAAUGUUUGUGCUUCUCAUGUGACAUAGGGAACACCUGCACUGUGACCAAGGAGGAAGGAUGAGCACUCUCACCCUUGGAUAGGUAUUUUCCUCAUAUGCAAAGUGCAUGAGUUACAAGUUAAUGAAUUGCAUGUUAUGAAUUAGAGAACUUGUGAGUUACAAACCUCAUGACUGAAUUAGUGAAUUCAUGAUGAAUUAGUGAAUUCAUGAGCUAGACUAGUUUGUACAAAGGGGAUCGAGCCCUACUUCAUAAUGUUUUCUUUCUUUCCUAAUGAGCUUAUAAAAUAAAGUUUAAUUUGCAAAGUACAUUGUCCUGUGAAUAUGAGAGAUCCAAACAGACCAUGACAGAUUGAGUGGUCUGUGGCCCUUCUCCCUAUUGCCUGUCCAAAUAUUUUAAAACAGAGGCAAACAGGCAAUGACUAGGGAUCCUCUGAAAGGAGUAGGGAAAAUCCUUCAUAAAAUUUAAGUUCUGUGUGCCUUGUCUACUCCACAUUUUAUUUUCCUUUAAGGGCUUUGCCAAAGACUUCUGGUGGCUGCUUUUAUUUUUCAGGGAAGUUAUAGUCCACCCAGUCCUUCCCUCUUGUUUCACUCACUGUGGACUAUGGACUUUUAGUGUUAAUGUGUGUCAGCCAAAAUAAUUAAAAGCAAUGCACGCUGUAUCCCAGAAAACUAGAAAGGUUGCAAACGUGCUUCUUUCAUCACAGAGAAAUAUGCAAAAUCAAAUCACAGUCAGCAGGAAAAUGAAUAAGCUAUUUGAUAAUACCAUGUGCAACAAAACAGCAUCAUAAAAAUGAAAUUAUUUACAGUAGCAUUCAAAUCACACAGUCAUCAUUGAUUUAGUUUCCAAUUAUACAGAGGUAAUUGUAUUAACAAACUGCCUUAUUCACUUUGGUGGGAAAACAAUUGAAAGUUUUAGUGUCCUGGCAUCUGAAAAUAAUAAAUGAUAUUAUCUGUGCACCCAAUCCGACCAGAAUCCUAAUGCUUUUUUUACCCAGGGCAUAAUACAGUAUCAAUAUGCCUGAGAUGAAAGAUACUUCUAUGACUUUCUGGAGCCAAGACAGUUCUGGAAUAAAUCUAGAAUAGAAUAAGCAUUCUAGAAAUAAAUAUUGAAA